rnacentral:rRNA from 1 species
GAUGAACGCUGGCGGCGUGCCUAAUACAUGCAAGUCGAGCGAACGGACGAGAAGCUUGCUUCUCUGAUGUUAGCGGCGGACGGGUGAGUAACACGUGGAUAACCUACCUAUAAGACUGGGAUAACUUCGGGAAACCGGAGCUAAUACCGGAUAAUAUUUUGAACCGCAUGGUUCAAAAGUGAAAGACGGUCUUGCUGUCACUUAUAGAUGGAUCCGCGCUGCAUUAGCUAGUUGGUAAGGUAACGGCUUACCAAGGCAACGAUGCAUAGCCGACCUGAGAGGGUGAUCGGCCACACUGGAACUGAGACACGAUCCAGACUCCUACGGGAGGCAGCAGUAGGGAAUCUUCCGCAAUGGGCGAAAGCCUGACGGAGCAACGCCGCGUGAGUGAUGAAGGUCUUCGGAUCGUAAAACUCUGUUAUUAGGGAAGAACAUAUGUGUAAGUAACUGUGCACAUCUUGACGGUACCUAAUCAGAAAGCCACGGCUAACUACGUGCCAGCAGCCGCGGUAAUACGUAGGUGGCAAGCGUUAUCCGGAAUUAUUGGGCGUAAAGCGCGCGUAGGCGGUUUUUUAAGUCUGAUGUGAAAGCCCACGGCUCAACCGUGGAGGGUCAUUGGAAACUGGAAAACUUGAGUGCAGAAGAGGAAAGUGGAAUUCCAUGUGUAGCGGUGAAAUGCGCAGAGAUAUGGAGGAACACCAGUGGCGAAGGCGACUUUCUGGUCUGUAACUGACGCUGAUGUGCGAAAGCGUGGGGAUCAAACAGGAUUAGAUACCCUGGUAGUCCACGCCGUAAACGAUGAGUGCUAAGUGUUAGGGGGUUUCCGCCCCUUAGUGCUGCAGCUAACGCAUUAAGCACUCCGCCUGGGGAGUACGACCGCAAGGUUGAAACUCAAAGGAAUUGACGGGGACCCGCACAAGCGGUGGAGCAUGUGGUUUAAUUCGAAGCAACGCGAAGAACCUUACCAAAUCUUGACAUCCUUUGACAACUCUAGAGAUAGAGCCUUCCCCUUCGGGGGACAAAGUGACAGGUGGUGCAUGGUUGUCGUCAGCUCGUGUCGUGAGAUGUUGGGUUAAGUCCCGCAACGAGCGCAACCCUUAAGCUUAGUUGCCAUCAUUAAGUUGGGCACUCUGAGUUGACUGCCGGUGACAAACCGGAGGAAGGUGGGGAUGACGUCAAAUCAUCAUGCCCCUUAUGAUUUGGGCUACACACGUGCUACAAUGGACAAUACAAAGGGCAGCGAAACCGCGAGGUCAAGCAAAUCCCAUAAAGUUGUUCUCAGUUCGGAUUGUAGUCUGCAACUCGACUACAUGAAGCUGGAAUCGCUAGUAAUCGUAGAUCAGCAUGCUACGGUGAAUACGUUCCCGGGUCU